rnacentral:misc_RNA from 1 species
UCUGCUUCUUUGUCUUCUGAUGAAACAGUCUCAUGAGAAUUCUUCACUUUUCUUUCAGUGCUCUGAGUUGUAUUAACCCGCUGAGCUGUCCUUUGAAUGCUUUCUUUCACUUCGAAUACAGCUGGCUGAGCUCCUCCCAUUUUCCUUGCACUAUCAACUGAUUCUUUCACUGUUUUAGCUGACAUGAAACUGGCAUUGCUGAUUUCCGGAUUUAGGGAAACUUGGGUUUGCUCAAUAUUCUUUCCUUUCUCACUCUUUUCAUAAGGAAAUUUCUUCCCUUGAUUUCCAAUACCCAGGUCCACUCGAAAGGUACUCCUAAUGUUCUUCUGUUCAGUGUCAGUUGAAUCUUCCAUUAGGAAUUGGCUCUUUUCAUCUUCUAAGUUGCCUAGGGCUAUGCCAGAUGCUACUUCCUUUUCACCAUUUCUCAGUUCAUUCAUUA